rnacentral:rRNA from 1 species
GAUGAACGCUGGCGGCGUGCCUAAUACAUGCAAGUCGAGCGAACAGACGAGGAGCUUGCUCCUCUGACGUUAGCGGCGGACGGGUGAGUAACACGUGGAUAACCUACCUAUAAGACUGGGAUAACUUCGGGAAACCGGAGCUAAUACCGGAUAAUAUAUUGAACCGCAUGGUUCAAUAGUGAAAGACGGUUUUGCUGUCACUUAUAGAUAGAUCCGCGCCGCAUUAGCUAGUUGGUAAGGUAACGGCUUACCAAGGCAACGAUGCGUAGCCGACCUGAGAGGGUGAUCGGCCACACUGGAACUGAGACACGGUCCAGACUCCUACGGGAGGCAGCAGUAGGGAAUCUUCCGCAAUGGGCGAAAGCCUGACGGAGCAACGCCGCGUGAGUGAUGAAGGUCUUCGGAUCGUAAAACUCUGUUAUUAGGGAAGGACAAAUGUGUAAGUAACUAUGCACGUCUUGACGGUACCUAAUCAGAAAGCCACGGCUAACUACGUG